GACGAAAUGUUGGUUGGUGGUACUAAAAAAUUUCCACUACUCUUGGAACAUCAUAAUCCUCAUUCUUCCGUCUCAGUCUGUGGCCUGAUAAACUCCAUAUAUAGUAGCCACAGAAUCAUAAUUGAUUUUUAUUACUAUAUUUGUCCAUACUACUAAUUGACUCUUUGAAAUAUCAUUUGGUAGACAAAAAGAUCGAUAACUGCGAUAAAGUGACAGCCAGCCACCGAAUCUCAAUCCAAUCAU